UACUAUGUCGGUUAUUAUACAAGGCACACAGUAAACAAAAUUUUCAACAAUGUUUUCCAGAAAAUGCAGACAGUUCUUAUACCAUUAAAAUGGACUCUAUAAAAGCAUGUAGUGAAAUACUAAAAACAACUCAGUAAACAUACUUCUAGGGGAACAGAGGGCUAAGGAUGUUGAAUAAUCAUUCAGUACAUAUUUAUAUUUAUUAAAUGUUAUGUACUGGUGACAGUGCAGUAAACAAAAGUGAGAAAGUUAUUCUUCUCGUGGCACUUACAUCAAUGGAAAAAUCGAGAUCCAAUUCUUGAGGGGAGAAGUUGUUAAUUUACUACUGCUCUUCCACUUUUAAUGAAAAAUCAAAAUAUAGCCAUAGCUCCAUCAAGAUUUUUUUAAACUGUAUGAAGUCAGAUAAAAAUAACAGCAUUAGGUGAUAGGAGAGAUGAUCUAUACUUAAUUUAAACUAUGUCAGGUUCAACUCUGAGAAGGCAGAUAUUUAGUAAUUGUCAGUUGUGAUAUAUAUUUGUAUACCAUAUUCUGUUUUACCUAAGCCAUAAACUCAGUGAGAGUAUCCUGAAAUCUAUUCUCAUUAAUUAUUUGUUCUGUAUUAGUCAACUAUAGCCACAAUAAAGCUGUAUAACAAACCGCUCUGAAAGAAGUGGCAUGCAAAUCAAGGUUUGAUUUCUCACUCUUGUGCUGUGGUUUGGCUGGAGUUCAGUUGAUCCAAGGCUGUGAUCAAUUCUUGACCAUGGGUUUGGUUCAGGUCUGUUCUUUGUAUUUCUCAUUCUUCUGAGAGCAGUGGGUUUCCUGGGGCAUGCUCUUCUCAUGGCAAAGGCAGAGGUGGAACAGGGCAAGCCCAACCACACAAGUACUUUUCAAGCCUCUCCUCACAUUUCUUCUACCAAUCCAUUUGUCAAAGUCAGUCACAUGGCCAAAGUCCAUAGAGGUAGGAGGAAGGAAAAACUAUUUGUGGAACAAUGAUCUAAUCUACCACAGACUCUAAUAGCCUGGCUAAUGGAGUGUUCCAAGUGUUUCAUAUAUUUUACAGCAUAUAUUGUACUGCUCUUGUUUUUGCCGUUACUGCAAUAAGCUAAAAAGUUUACAAGUACCUGGGCAAACUAAACUGUGUAAUAUUUUUCAUAGGCCAUAAACAAGCCUUCAAAUACCUCAUUUUUGCUUCCUAAAAGACAUAUUAUUAAAAAAUUUUAUUUUGAGACAUUCAGAUAAAUAUGCAGUUAUAAGAAAUAACACAGAGAUUCCAUAUACCUUCACCCAGUUUCUCCCAAAGGUAACAUCUUGCAAAACUAGGGUAUAAUGUCACAAACAGACAAAUGACACUGAUACUAUCCACCAAUCUUAUUCAGAUUUCACCAAUUUUACAUGCACUUGUAUAUAUAUGUGUGUCUGUGUAUGUGUAAUGCUACCAAUCUUAUGUGAAGAGUCAUAUGAACACCACCAGCACAAUAAGACACAGAAUAGUUCCAUUACAGGGAUCCCUUGUGCUAUCCUUCUAUAGCUACAGCCAACCUCUGCUCUCCCCUACCAACUCAUGACGACUACGAAUUGGUCCUCUAUCUCAAAAUUUUGUCUGUUUAAGAAUGUUAUAUAAAAGGAAUCACAUAGUAUGUAACCUUUGAAAUUGGCAUUUUUCAGUUUGAAUAAUUCCCUUGAGAUCCAUCCAAGUUGUUAUGUGUAUCAAUAGUUUGCUCCUUUUUAUUGUUGAAUAGUAUUCCAUGGUAUGAUGACCCACAGUCUACUUAACCAGUCACCUAUUGUAGGACAAUGUUUUUCUAUAAUUUUGGCAAUUAUGAAAUAAAUCUACUAUUAAUAUUCAUUUAUAGGUUUUACGUGAACCUAAGUUUUUGUUUCUCUAGGAUAAAUGUCCAAUAGUUUAAUUGCUGGGUCAGAUGGAAAACAAAUGUGUAGUUUUAUAUGAAAUUUCCAUAUUAUUUUCCAAAGCAGCUGUAGCAUUUUACAUUCUUUUGAGAAAUGUAUGAAUGAUCCAGAUUCUCUAAAAAUAAUAUAUCUUCUAAAAUGUGCUGGGAUAAUGAGGCCUCUAUUUUACAAAAUAUGGAUAAAAUGUCAGUUUAUUAACACUCACUUUAUAGGAACUGAAGAAGUAUGCGUUUCUUGGAAACUGUUUAAAACAAGGCUUAAAGCAGUGUUCAAGAACUAGAAAACUUCUCACAAAACUCAAGAAACUUCACUUUAAUACCAUCUUCUGAAAACUCUAAUCUUGCUUUUUAAUUUAUGGAAUUAUAUAUUUCAAUGUAUAAAAUAAAAUUAUCAUGGAUUAUAGUGGUUUCAUAAAUAUAACCUGAUGAUGACAAUAAAUAGUUUGAGAUGACUAUGAUAUAAUAGGUUACGCCAAUCUCUAUGUAUUUUGGGAUGCCAUAGCUCCAAAAGAAAUGGCUCUGUAGUUUGUAUAAGUAAAGAAAGUACAAACUGAGGGUCAUACCUUUAAUGUUAUAACCAUUGGGGUUGUUUUUGUUUUUCUUCUGCUUAUUAAUGUGGUUCUCAAAUUUAGCUGUUUAUCAGAAUGGCAUAUGAAUUUUAAAAAACUACCGAGACUCAUGCCAAAAAGCAGACAUAUGGAAUAAGAAUCUCAAGAGUUGCAAUCCAAGCAAUAUAAAUGACUCUAGAACACAGCAAAGUUGUGAACCACUGGUUUUGCCUUAAGUCAACCUGGUUUUAUUAAUUGAGUGACUAUGGUAGUAAAGGAAUCUUUAGACACAAUAAUCAAAGAAUCUUGUUUUGUCACUUCUCUGUCACACACACAAAAACUCACCAGAUUUGUAUGAUCCUCAUAUAUUUACUAUAAAAGUAACAAAAUUCCUUUUUAAAAGCACAGAGCAGUCCACUGGCUCCAGUUGAGCAAAAUCUAUUUUCUAUCCUCAGGUCCUUUUUAAUUUUGCUCACCAAACUUACAAUCUUGACUCCUGAAUUUGUCUUGUACACUGGUCUAUCUCAUUUUGUUUUUACUUGAUGACACCUAUAGCUUUUAUGAUGCAGUCUAAAUUUCCAGCCAAUUCUGCUUUCAAAGUCUUUUUAUUCUGUGUUAAGAGGUCUCGGAGAAUACUGUACAAUUUUGUUUUUUCCUUCAUGUAUUAAGAGUUUUCAGACUCCAAUUUCAUUAAACCAGGGAUUUCAGAGGAAAGUUCACUGAAUUCUGUGACCAUGGGAGGAUGGUGAUGGGAGAGGGGGUACAGUCUAUUUAGAGAGGUGGGGGCAGUGGGUUUUUUUAUUUUAGUGAAAUCAUUGUCAGUUCACCAUUUUAUCAGUGUAGGGUUUUACUGAAUGAUUUACCACCUUCAAGUAAGAACAGAGCAGCAGAUCAAGUCUUUUGGACAUUUUCCUAUCCUGAAUCAGUGGUUCUGGGCUACAAUCUCCCCAGUAAUUCAUAAGUGAGGUUGGAAAGGUCUGACUUUCAGGAGCCAUUAAUCAACACUCUUUCUGCAGUAAGUUGCAAACACUAGCAUUAUAAUGCUUGCUAUCAGAUAUGUUCCUAGGUGUGUAUCCUGGGCCUUGUCAAAGGAAGUGAAAACUUCCAAGGAUCAGUAAACUUGGCCUUUAAGGCAGCAAGCUUUUCUCAAGAGGAUUAUGCAAGAUUAAUUAACCAAUUAUUACCCUUUAAUUUUUCUUUUUCUUUUGCAGGGAAAGAUUUGCCAAGAGCUAAUAUCUGUUGCCAGUCUUCCUCUUUUCUUUUUUUUCCCUCCCCUAAGCCCCAGGGCAUGGUUGUAUAUCCUAGCUGGACUUACACCUAGUUCUUCUGUGUGAGCCACUGCCACAGGAUGGCAAUCAGGGCUGGCUCACCGUUACAUUUUUUUAAAAGGCUUUUUUCCAUGUGUGUGUUUCUCCUCUCCACCACACUCCCAACUUGGACAGUGGCACAAUUUUGCU
rnacentral:lncRNA from 1 species